UCUUCCUCUUUUUCUUCUUCUUUCUCUUCCCUUUCCCCACUCCUCUGCUUCUGAUCGAUUUAUGAGAGAGUGAACCUAUUUGAGGGAAUCAAUUAUCCAAGAUGAUUAGAUGAAGAAGGUGAUGGUGCUGAUAUGAUUACCGAAUUCAAGACUUCACAAAGAAGCUUUCAGAAAACAGAAGAAAUGAAGAGCUCGAAGAUAUCCGUUUCGUAGCUUAGAGCUUUAUCGAAUCUAGUGUUGUGGUGUAUCUUUUACUACCUGUAUUCUUUAUUUUCUGUAAACAACACAUUAAUAUGAUCUUAGAAUUCGAAAGACUUUUAUUUAUAUAAUAUUAGAGAGUUAUGGGUUUUGUUC